rnacentral:rRNA from 1 species
GACAGAGGGUGCAAACGUUGUUCGGAAUUACUGGGCGUAAAGGGCGCGUAGGCGGUUCGUACAGUCAGACGUGAAAUUCCUGGGCUCAACCUGGGGGCUGCGUUUGAUACGUGCGGACUUGAGUGCGGAAGAGGGUCGUGGAAUUCCCAGUGUAGAGGUGAAAUUCGUAGAUAUUGGGAAGAACACCGGUGGCGAAGGCGGCGACCUGGUCCGAUACUGACGCUGAGGCGCGAAAGCGUGGGGAGCAAACAGG